rnacentral:rRNA from 1 species
AAAUUGAAGAGUUUGAUCAUGGCUCAGAUUGAACGCUGGCGGCAGGCCUAACACAUGCAAGUCGAACGGUAGCACAGAGAGCUUGCUCUCGGGUGACGAGUGGCGGACGGGUGAGUAAUGUCUGGGAAACUGCCUGAUGGAGGGGGAUAACUACUGGAAACGGUGGCUAAUACCGCAUAACGUCGCAAGACCAAAGAGGGGGACCUUCGGGCCUCUUGCCAUCAGAUGUGCCCAGAUGGGAUUAGCUAGUUGGUGAGGUAACGGCUCACCAAGGCGACGAUCCCUAGCUGGUCUGAGAGGAUGACCAGCCACACUGGAACUGAGACACGGUCCAGACUCCUACGGGAGGCAGCAGUGGGGAAUAUUGCACAAUGGGCGCAAGCCUGAUGCAGCCAUGCCGCGUGUAUGAAGAAGGCCUUCGGGUUGUAAAGUACUUUCAGCGGGGAGGAAGGUGUUGUGGUUAAUAACCGCAGCAAUUGACGUUACCCGCAGAAGAAGCACCGGCUAACUCCGUGCCAGCAGCCGCGGUAAUACGGAGGGUGCAAGCGUUAAUCGGAAUUACUGGGCGUAAAGCGCACGCAGGCGGUCUGUCAAGUCGGAUGUGAAAUCCCCGGGCUCAA